rnacentral:rRNA from 1 species
UACGGAGGGUGCAAGCGUUAUCCGGAUUCACUGGAUUUAAAGGGCGCGUAGGCGGCCUGCUAAGUCGAACGUGAAAUCCCUGGGCUCAACCCAGGAACUGCGUCCGAUACUGGUUGGCUUGAAUCCGGGAGAGGGACGUGGAAUUCCAGGUGUAGCGGUGAAAUUCGUAGAUAUCAAGCGGAACACCGGUGGCGAAGGCGGCCUUCUGGACAGUGACUGACGCUGAGACGCGAAAGCGUGGGGAGCAAACAGG